AAGACAACUCUGUUCCGCAGAGUAGCUGUUGAUAUUAUAGUUGAGCAGGCACUUUGUUGACUCUAGAGAACCUCGGGCCAAUCGCACAUCCCCGUGACGGUGACUUUGCAUUUGAAUGUCAUCCAUAUCAACUUUUGACGCUAGUUUCUGCGUCUACCAUGGUGACCACGGGUAACGGGGAAUCAGGGUUCCAUUCCCGUACAGGGACCCUGAGAAACGGCUACCACAUGCAAGGAAGGCAGCAGGGGUGCAAAUGACCCACUCCCGACGAGUGAAGGUAGU